GAUGAACGCUGGCGGCGUGCCUAACACAUGCAAGUCGAACGAAGCAAUUAAGAUGAAGUUUUCGGAUGGAAUCUUGAUUGACUGAGUGGCGGACGGGUGAGUAACGCGUGGAUAACCUGCCUCACACUGGGGGAUAACAGUUAGAAAUGACUGCUAAUACCGCAUAAGCGCACAGUGCCGCAUGGCAGUGUGUGAAAAACUCCGGUGGUGUGAGAUGGAUCCGCGUCUGAUUAGCCAGUUGGCGGGGUAACGGCCCACCAAAGCGACGAUCAGUAGCCGACCUGAGAGGGUGACCGGCCACAUUGGGACUGAGACACGGCCCAAACUCCUACGGGAGGCAGCAGUGGGGAAUAUUGCACAAUGGGCGAAAGCCUGAUGCAGCGACGCCGCGUGAGUGAAGAAGUAUUUCGGUAUGUAAAGCUCUAUCAGCAGGGAAGAAAAUGACGGUACCUGACUAAGAAGCCCCGGCUAACUACGUGCCAGCAGCCGCGGUAAUACGUAGGGGGCAAGCGUUAUCCGGAUUUACUGGGUGUAAAGGGAGCGUAGACGGCGAAGCAAGUCUGAAGUGAAAACCCAGGGCUCAACCCUGGGACUGCUUUGGAAACUGUUUUGCUAGAGUGUCGGAGAGGUAAGUGGAAUUCCUAGUGUAGCGGUGAAAUGCGUAGAUAUUAGGAGGAACACCAGUGGCGAAGGCGGCUUACUGG
rnacentral:rRNA from 1 species